AAUUAACGCUGGCAGAGUGCAUAACACAUGCAAGUCGAGCGGGACUACUUGAGAUUACAUCAACUGGUAGUCUAGCGGCAGACGAGUGAGUAACACGUAGACAAUCUGCCCCCGAAGGUAGAUAACGCGCCGAAAGGACGUGCUAAUGCGCCGUACUAUCCCACGGAUGGCAUCAUCAGGGGAGUGAGAGGCCCGCCAAGGGCC
rnacentral:rRNA from 1 species